rnacentral:rRNA from 1 species
UCCUUACGUGAAUACAUAGCGUGAGGAAGGCAGACCCAGGGAACUGAAACAUCUAAGUACCUGGAGGAAGAGAAAGAAAAAUCGAUUUCCUGAGUAGCGGCGAGCGAAACGGAAAGAGCCCAAACCAAGAAGCUUGCUUCUUGGGGUUGUAGGACACUCUAUACGGAGUUACAAAAGAAAGUUAUAAAUGAAGCGGUCUGGAAAGGCCCGCCAAAGACGGUAACAGCCCGGUAGUUGAAAUGGCUUUCCCUCCAGAGUGGAUCCUGAGUACGGCGGAACACGUGAAAUUCCGUCGGAAUCCGGGAGGACCAUCUCCCAAGGCUAAAUACUCCCUAGUGACCGAUAGUGAACCAGUACCGUGAGGGAAAGGUGAAAAGCACCCCGGAAGGGGAGUGAAACAGUUCCUGAAACCGUGU